rnacentral:rRNA from 1 species
CGGCCCCUGGACAAGACUGACGCUCAGGUGCGAAGCGUGGGGAGCAAACAGGAUUAGAUACCUGGUAGUCACGCGUAAACGAUGUCGACUUGGAGGUUGUUCCCUUGAGGAGUGGCUUCCGGAGCUAACGCGUUAAGUCGACCGCUGGGGAGUACGGCCGCAAGGUUAAAACUCAAAUGAAUUGACGGGGGCCCGCACAAGCGGUGGAGCAUGUGGUUUAAUUCGAUGCAACGCGAAGAACCUUACCUACUCUUGACAUCCACGGAAUUUGGCAGAGAUGCCUUAGUGCCUUCGGGAACCGUGAGACAGGUGCUGCAUGGCUGUCGUCAGCUCGUGUUGUGAAAUGUUGGGUUAAGUCCCGCAACGAGCGCAACCCUUAUCCUUUGUUGCCAGCGAUUCGGUCGGGAACUCAAAGGAGACUGCCGGUGAUAAACCGGAGGAAGGUGGGGAUGACGUCAAGUCAUCAUGGCCCUUACGAGUAGGGCUACACACGUGCUACAAUGGCGCAUACAAAGAGAAGCGACCUCGCGAGAGCAAGCGGACCUCACAAAGUGCGUCGUAGUCCGGAUCGGAGUCUGCAACUCGACUCCGUGAAGUCGGAAUCGCUAGUAAUCGUGGAUCAGAAUGCCACGGUGAAUACGUUCCCGGGCCUUGUACACACCGCCCGUCACACCAUGGGAGUGGGUUGCAAAAGAAGUAGGUAGCUUAACCUUCGGGAGGGCGCUUACCACUUUGUGAUUCAUGACUGGGGUGAAGUCGUAACAAGGUAACCAAGGGCGAAUUCUG